GGACUCUUAGCUCAGAGGAUAGAGCAAUCGCCUUCUAAGCGAUCGGUCACAGGUUCGAAUCCUGUAGGGUCCG
rnacentral:tRNA from 1 species